rnacentral:tRNA from 1 species
CGCGCAAUGGAUAGCGCGUUGGACUUCUAAUGCAAAGGUGGUGGGUUCGAAUCCCACCUCAGA